AUAUUUAUAUGUAUUUCUUACCAGUAUUUCGAGAGAACAGAGUUAUAAAAUAGAACAAAUGAAUGUGAGUAAUGUUUGUGUUGUUGUCGGUAAAGCGUGAUCGCGCAGAGGGCGGCGCGCGCCUCCUGUUCCUCAGACCCGUUACUCACGAGACGCAGAACAAACGGACAGAACAUGAAGGAAAAACACGGCAGAGAUUUUGCGAUGGCUCACAAAACGGAGCGGUUUAAAGUGAUUUCUCUCAUCAGAUGCUGGAUUUCACUCGUGGCAUUCACAGCGGUGACAUGGUGUGAGGCCGUGCAGGUCUCAGUUCGUGACGAGCGGCGCUUUGCGAUGCUUUUCCAGUCAGUGGUUCUGCCAUGUCAUUAUACCAGCGUCUCUUCUCAGACUCCAGUCAUCCAGUGGUGGUACAAGUCAUACUGCCGUGAUCGCAGCCGCGAUGUCUUCCGCUUCCCCGACACGCUGGCUGUCCACGGCUCUGAGCUCGGCUCUUCUGUUCACCUGGACUGCGGGGACAGCGGGCGGACAGUGCGCAUUGUGGCAUCUGGACAUGGAUCAUCCAUCACCCUCGCUGAAUAUUACAAGGGACGGGACAUUUCCAUCAUCAACAAGGCUGACCUGCGCAUCGGUGAGCUGCAGUGGGGCGACAGUGGUGUUUACUACUGUAAGGUGGUGAUUUCUGAUGAUCUGGAGGGAAAGAAUGAAGCACAUGUGGAGCUGCUUGUGUUGGGUCAGACAGGUUUGGCUGAUGAUCUUCUGCCUGGGUUUAAUGUGGAGAUUGUUCCAGAGUGGGUGUUUGUGGGCGCCGUGGUCGUGGGCAGUAUCCUCGUCAUUCUGCUGGUGGGUGUUUGCUGGUGUCAGUGUUGCCCUCAUUCAUGCUGCUGUUACGUGAGAUGCUGCUGCUGCCCAGAUACCUGCUGCUGUCCUCGACACCUAUAUGAAGCAGGAAAGGGGAUCAAGUCAACCCCUCCCACACCAGUGCCCAUGUUCCCUCCAUACUACAUACCUGGUAUGCCCACCAUGGUGCCUAUUGCUCCGCCUUCCCUCAUUGACCCGAACCUUUCCACUGCACCAUCACUGGAAAACAAUGGCUCAGUGUGGAGUGGUUUCCAUCUGCAGCCUGUGUCAGAUGAGAGUUCUCUGAAAGUGCUGCAGUACGUGGAGAAGCAGCUCGCUCAGUUCAACCCAUCACAGACUCUUAGCAGCAGCCGAAACUCCUGCAGUAUGUCUGAGCUGAGUUCCUUACAUGAUGCAGAAGCUAAUUUCCGUCAAACCAAUCGACAAGUCCAGAAAAAGGCUUUGCCUGCCAUUCCUGAUCUUGAUGACCUCCGGACCACAGAUUUAUCUCCCAUUCAUGAGGCAGGAUGCACACAACAACCCCAGCGUAGAAAUCAUGUAGCAGAUGAAAACCCCAGGUGGAACCCUCGCUCAGAACACUUGCAGAGGAAGGCUUUCCUGGAACGUGGACGGACAGGAUCUUUGGAUGAGCUAGAGGAGUUUGCAAUGGCGUAUAUGCAACGAGGACAUCACAGUGAUCUUGGAAACAGGGAGGUCAACUAUAGAGCACACGAACUGGAAAAGGAGCGCAAGAGGGAGAGAGACCGGGAGCUGGAACGAGAUCGUUACCCAUUUUAUUGUUCAAAACGUUACUCUCCGAAGGCCAGUCCAGUGAGAUGUCCACCCAGCCCUCCGCUCUUACCUGGAAAAAGACGGGACCCGUGGGACAAUGGUCAACCACAAAGGGAUACACGAAAGUGGGAUCAGAGCAGAAGAGAUUUCAGUGGUACAGGGAGCAGGCAGGACUACAGUGAUGCCCUUCUCAACAGUUUAUUAGAACGUAAAGCUAAAGCAGUCAAAACCAGUUCUUCAAAAGUAGGACAGACUGAAGAGGACUCAGACACACCUUCCAAAAACAGCUCCAAAAAGAGUAAUGAAGGUUUCCACAGCAGGUCUCCAUGCAACCAGUCACCUCGUGACCGGAUGGCAAAGGAUAAUGAAUCAUUACCGUCCUGCACCGAGAAGGAACAGGAGCGUUCCUGUGGAGCAGAGUCUGGACAACAACCUUUCAGCUACACCCGCUCUGGUCACGGCUCUACGCCAAGUGGGCAAGAGGAGCAGAACCGCCCUCGUAAAGUGGUGAGUUAUCAUUAGGACUCUUUGUGACUCUGCUGUUCAAUUGAAAGGGGGAAAUAAAACCUUUCACAGCACUGUCGACCUGAGUUUGUCUUGCAUGCAAAUGGAUGCAUUAGUGGAGUGAAAGAAAAGUACAGAGGUUCCACAGACUGAAGCCACUUCAAUCAAAGCAAAGCAGUAGAAAGGUGUUUAUCUACAGGGAAGUGAAGAAUGUAGUCCUGAAACCCUCCAACACAAUUAGUAACAUUAUUGGAAAUAUGUUUGUAAAAAUUUUGAAGUAAUUUAAAAAAGAAAAAAGAAAAAAGACCUCAAAAGAUUAGUUGAAAACAGUCAUUAAAAGAUCCAGUACAAGAGAGAAUGCAGAACAUUAGCCAUAAAUCCAAUUUCACCAGAGAAGCACUCUAUAAGAUUUCCUCCUGUCAGUCAUCAUCCUUACCAUUUAUUUCAUUCGUAUCUCUUGUAGACAUUUUUUGAUGAACAAAGUGUGCAGUUUGAUUCCGACCUAGGUCUUUCAAUCACGGUUCGAUUUGUACCUCGAUUUGACAACAGAAAAUAAGAUGUAUACAGAGCACUCUUCUGAGCAGAGACUCGCUUGUAGUUUGAUGUCUCAGAUACACAAUGGGGAAGUCACCACGCUUGCAAAAACUCCACCGCCAACACGCACUGAUCCAGUGGAGCACUAGCGCUGUGGAAGGCAGGUUUGUGAGGUCUGAACAUGAGUAUUGAAAUAUAACUUACCCUAUGGCUCACAGCUUUGACACUGAGCUUGGAGAAAAUAUAGAGUAUUCAUUCAUGAGGCUCACUGGACAAGAGACUUUUCCUCACAGUUUAAUGGAUUUGUAUUUGAUGAAAACAUUUGCCACAGUGAAAUGAUGAUGUUUACAUUGAGCGUUAUUGGAUGUAAUAUAUGAGGAUAGCAUGGUUGCCCUAUCAAAACCAGUUUUACUUACAUAUGGGACACAGUAUUUUCACUUAUAUGUAUAUAAUCUUAAAGUGCUCCAUAUGAAUGGAUUUUUGAAUUUGCUAAAUUGUUACAUUCUGACAACCUAUAUCAGUAAACAUGUUCAUAAAAAACAAGACACUUGCUAACUGCUGUGCUAGCUAACUGUGCUUUUGCACAUAUUUGCACAUAACAUUAAUAUUAUUGUAGAUCUAGUUAUACACUCAUGCUUUUAUUAGUGUUGUACGAUACAGUUAAUUUAUUUUUCAAAGUAACAAAUGAUAAUAUUGUGUGUCUUUAGGGAUGACACUGGUUUCCAUAUGCAAAGCUGAGCAAAGACUUAAAGAUAAACAGAACAAGAUUACAGGGAGUCAGUUGGUUCCAGUGGUUUAUUAAUUAUCAACCAAUCUCAUCAUAUUAGAUAAACAAGAAAGGAUUUUCAUUGAAUUACUGUUGGUUGUGAGUUCACUGAAGCACAUAUCUGGAUCAUGUAGUUAAAGAUUUCUGACUAAAAAAAGUACAAUGUGCAGCUGACUCGAGUGAAACACUUCAGUAUUAGUACUGAAAACCAGCCUCACGUAUAAUCAUUUAUCUUGUAAAGGCUCAGUCAUUGCUAUCUGUGGUACCUUAAGUUAGUGUCAAUAGUAACAGUGUGAUGUAUAUGCACUGGAGACACGCGGACACUGCACACACCAAGCGGUGACAUCACGGGACGAUGAGCUCAUCAUUCUUGUGUUGGUUCUGUUGGCGAUCAGGCAUUAGAUGACAUUUGUAUUGCUCUCAGACUGACAUCACUGUGUCAGAUGUCAGUCUUCACCUAGUUCUUCACCUACUUCACCAGUCUCCAACUACUUACUCUAGUCUUCUUUUAUCUUGAAAUGGUUAUGUUUAUAUAAGGUAGCUGUAUCAAGCAAAGUGCUUUUAUCCAAAUGCUUAAGGAAAUGGUCUAUAUAAUUACAAUUUUGCCAUGAGGACUGAAAAUCAUGUUAAUGCAACUGUUUACAUUUUUUCACAUUUGCUGCCUUAUGAAAUAUGUAUAUUAGCUGUAUGCAGAUUCAACCAUGUUAACUACAUCAAAUGAAUUUCAAUAAAAACUUGACAUUCUAAUCCUAGCAAACUCAUGUUAUGCAG